rnacentral:misc_RNA from 1 species
AGAAAGUCGAAAGAAGAGACAACAUAGUGACGAAUUUCUAAGCCCUACAAAAUCUAGAAAACAAAAGACAGCAUGUAAUUUUUAAACAAGCAGUUGUCACUAUUAAAAUGAGAAGAAUAAAACUAUUAACAUUUUGAACAGAAGUUAACAUCAAAUUUCAAAACCAAUUUUUUUGAAGCUACUUUGCGAAUGGAGGAAAAACAAUGGAAGGUAG